UUCACUUUUCUCAUUUUUUUGUUCCAAUUUUUAAAGUUUUCUUGUUAAUUAAUUGUCUGCGUUGAUUGUUGAACGAAUUUCCAUUUAAAUGGCUUAUUUCAAUCUCUCUUAUUUUGGUUUACUCGGUUAUCUGUCCUAGUUCAUCUUCUUCUUAGUGAUUAAAUGAUUGGUAUGUUUGUAAUUAUUGGACUGUUUUGUCUAUAAUUUUCUCAAUCGAAAUGUUUCAUUUAUUAUUCUCAGGAUGAUUUCAGAAUUUGGAAUAAAGAUAAUAUUGAAAGAAGAUUAGCAAGAUUAUCUGGAGCUGGCGUCCAUAUUUAUUCAUUCAAAUCUUUCUCGUGAGGACACAAGAGGACAAGUCAAGUCGAUUCUUGGAUAGCUUAUCCCAUGCAUACUAUUGUUGAUCUUCGAAAUUUUAUUUCAACUGUUACCGAUUUAAAGAGCUCUAUUCCCAUCGAGCCCGAAGAUCCAACAGUUCAUCGAGAGCCAACAGUUCAUAUUCAAACUGGGGCCGUUUAUCAUUUUGAUGAUGAAGGAUUCUUUGUUUGAUUUUUUUUAUUGUAAUGCUUGUCGGUAUGUUUUACAUGGUUAUUAUUGUUUGUUGUUACCGAAAUGAUCGUAAAACAAAGUCAAUAUUUCAUCAGCACCUCAGUUUGUCCAAUGUCUCAGCUUUGGAAUCUAAUCUGGUAAUGGAAUCAUAACAGUGAAAGAUAACUCGACUAACCAUUUGGAGCAAAUGGCUUUUUGAUUGAAAUGAUCGAAAGAAAAGUGAUCCGUUCAUGAGACAAUAGUUGAUGAAGCGAAUCAAAUAGACGAGGUAAAUCAAUGGUCAUCGUGGUACAAAGUCAAUAGUUGAUUAGUUACUUGUAGUUAAUGAUGAUAGAUUUAAAUAUCAAUGUUCUUCCCAACGAUUUUGCUCCUUAACUUUUGUUUUCCGUUUUGAUGAACCCUCGUUGCUUCACAAUUUAAUCGCCUACAUUAUUUACCAGAGUCUAAAAUUACUCAAUAAUAAAUGUUAAUCAUUUUGAAUAUCGUAUUUUUUUGUUGACUUGUAAUUCUGAAAAAAUCGCCCACAAUUAAAUGAGAAUAGUAAAUAACAUUUACUAAAUAUUGUUUUUCAUUCUUUUUUACAUUUAUCAUCAAUUCUUGUUCAUGGCAACAUUAACAAUCAACAAUUAAGAAUAAUUUUUAAUCAAACAAUAAUUUUAAAGUUUAGGUAAAUUAAUCAAAUUUCUAAUUUGAUUGUUGAAUUAAUAGUUCGUCUUAGUUUCUCUCUAUAGAUUAAUUUUGCUUUGUUCGUUAUGAUUGGAUUAGUGAUUUGUGAUGAUUACUGGACUUUUAGGAUCACAACAAUUUGAUCAAGAAUCUAAAGAUGAUCUCGGUGUAGUUAGAGGUCGAUAUGGUUACACUGAUCCAAAUGGUAGAUUGUGAUUAGUUUAUUAUUCAUCGGAUGCAGUUAAUUGUUACAAAGUAUGGGGACCAGAUAUACCUGAGAGCACCAGCAAUCAGCCUAAAUCAUUGAAGGUUCAAGAGUAAAAUCUCAUCUAGGAUUAUCUAUCCUCAAUUUCCAGCAUUCAAAGUGUCAGCAAUUAAAUCGUCCAAAGUGAUUAUCCAACCUUAUCCACUUCGAUUCUUAUCGAAAAUAUUAAUUGUUCAACGGGAACAAGUGAUACACAAAACCCUUUCAGCGAUACUUUUGUUCAAUAUACAAAUCAUCUCGUCGUCUCUAAAACAUCAACAAUUAAAAGAUCAGAAAGCAAGGGAUCUCCAAUUAUUAUCCAACAAUUCCAAUCGCCAGAAACAAUUAAAUCACAAUCGAUUCAAAGUGUCCAUCGUCCAGUCCCAAUUACACCAGUUUAGAUCUAAUUAUUCAUCGGUGGGAAAAUAUUCUCGAUGUUAUUGUCAAUAAACUAAUCUCCACCUAGAAGUACAAUCCAGUUAAUUGUUCCAAUUAUUCAUACAAUUUAAAAAAGCGAUAAUCAUAUUUACCUUUUUAAAUCCAGUUGCAUGUUUAAUCUUGUCAUUUUUUACUUGCAACAAUUAAAAGUCCACAAUAAACGCCAGACAAACUAAUCAA